UAGGGCCUGGAAAAAUUAGCAUCUAUUUAUUACAUAAUUAGCAUUUAUGAUGUUGAAAAUUAGCAUCUAUUUUCCAGAAAUUAGCAUCUAUUUUUGAGAAAUUUGCAUAAGAUAUUAAAGUUACAUAACAAUACAAGAAGUUGUAAUAGUGUUUAUACCCAUUAUGACGAAUUUUAACACAAACCAAAAUCAUUAAACGGUAUUUGUAAACAAACGUUUGACCACUAGUAAUUUCAGAUGGAAACAAACUGACGAUUCGAGUUGACCAACUUCAGUACGCUAAAUGUGCACCACAAAAUGUAUGAUUUGUCCCUAUGUAAAAUAUUGAUCAGAAAAAAAAUUUGAAGACUAAAGUGAUUAUCAACGAAUGUAAAAAACCGCGUACUAAAAUAUUUGUAGUAGUUUUCAGCAUUUAAAAUAUUUUCAUUUUUAUCUUUGCAAGUUCACUACGAUCCCGUCAACGACCUAGAUAUUUUCUAGGUUGUUGGUUUCCGUGAUGCGCUUCCCGGGAAAUUUUGUUUUGUUAGGUUAGAUACUCUUCAUGAACAGGCAACACACGAUGCAAUGGCGAACGUAGGCGAACGUGAUGUGAUCUAACAAAACAAAAUAACUGCGUCGAUAAGUAGUGUGAACAUUCUUUUCUAAACAACAUUCAACGGUAUCUUGAGUAAAUCGUAAAGAAUAAAUUUACAAAAUUACUUAUUCUAUACUAUCAUGCGUGAUAUUUGGUUAAGGAAUGUUUUAUAAAUAAAGGUUAGGAUUCGGAUUUUAUUCCUUCAACAAGCCUUGUCAGAAGCUAUUGUUUACGGUAAUUGUGUUAUGGUGGCUAUUUUCAAAAAAAAUACUUUGAGGAAUGUGUGUUCAAGCCAUUUUGUUGCAUUCUAUAGUGGUUUUUCGCCCGAUAAUGGCAAUUUUACCGCGAUUUCGCAAAUAUAGCAUUUAUAACAACAAUUAGUAAAAAAUCGCAUCUAACCUCAAAAUUCGCAAAAAAAUCGCAUCUAUCGCAAAUUGCGAAUUUUUCCGGCCCCUAAGAAUAAGUCAUAUAAAUGGCAAUCUGGAGACAAAGUCCAUAACAGAAACUGUAGAGCAAUAAAGUAAUACAUAGUAUUUAACAGAAACUAUAUAGCAGAAAAAUAAUAUUCAUGGCAACAUGAUACACACCAGAUGGUCAACACAUUUCAUUUGGUAAGUAUAUGUAUAAUUUGAUAAGCUCAAUAGUUUUGGUAGGCCUAUCUUAUUUAAAUGUAUACUGUGCUUCAUGUAUUCACAGCUUUCAAUAUAUUUUUUUUGUUUUAUAUUUGUCAAACAUUCAGUUACAUAAAAAAUUGGAAAUAUUGUAUACCUACAUUACAAAGAGUGUUUGGUGAUUUCAUGCAAUGGCAAAAUUAGCACCUAAUUACACACAUUAAUUAAAAAAAAAAAAACUACUACUGCUUAUAAACACAAGUGGUAACAAUAGUUAACAGCACUUAGCUCUUAAUGUUUCUCAGGUAGAUGUAUAGAAUAUAAAUGUGUGGUGAUUGUAGUAGUGACUGCAUUUUGCGAUACUGUAUGCUGCAACACUAAGUGAGAUUAAUGGCAGAACAGUAAAUAUUUUUUGUGUAAACUUAAGACAAGCAGCCAGAAAAGUAGGUGGUUUAUUUUUAUGAUUUUAUAAAAUGUUUUAGUAAUUAAGUAGUAGUGUUUUGUGUUCAUUGUAAUUUUACAGUUUAUCAGAUUUUUUGCAAACAAGAAAAUAAAAAUUACAAAAUACCUUUUGCUUCCUGAAAUGCUUUGGAAUCAUUUUGUAAGACAGCACUGUGUUACAUCAAGCAGUCUACCAAUAGUUUUAUAGUUUUAACAUUCAUGAUUGCGAUAUCGCAAGUGCCGCCAUGUGCGAGUCCCUGCUGUGCUUGCAAAAAGCUUGCUUCAAUAAAAACAAGGGCCUCAUAAUCAGAUUUUGUCACAUAUGGAGUUAUGUGUUUCUUGCUGCAAGUAUUGCUCUCUUGGGUAAUGACUGAAAAACAUAUCAGGAAGUAAAAAAAAAAAGUUAUAAUUUUUACUCUUCUUACUUUUGUUGAUUAAAACAAACUUAAUAAAAUCUUGUGCAGUUUUAAAAACGAUAAACAACUUAAAGUACCUCAACAUUCUCUUGGGAAAUAUUUCGAUACAUGUCAGGAUGUGAGAAAAAGUUUUUCGGAAUUUUUUCUUUAUUCAUUUAAAAGCCGCAAAACAAUACAAUUACUCUGUGCAUUUUAUUUGCUGUUAGGAGAGAGGUGGGUAAUAAUCUUACGUUGUGGCUUUUCCACAAACUAAAAAAAAAUUAGACAAGAACUUUUUUUGACACUAGUCAUAUCCCUGAAUUUAUCCUGAAAACAGACUUUAAAUUUCUACAGGUUAGCAAGUAAUCAAGGUUUAAAGCUUACAUUAUAAUACCUGUGCAUUCACACAUACCUGUAUGUUCUUAAAGUACAAACACUGGGAAAAAACUUUUGGACGGAGGACAUUCAUAUGCUUCUGUUACAUCAGAUAUAUAUCUUGAGAAAUAAUAAUGAAAUGUAAUAUAUCUUCAGUAUGGUGUUCUAUUAUACUAGUACAGGUAGGGCUUGUUCUUAAGUAUAGAAUAUGAUACCACAGGUAAAAUAUAUACUGUAGUAGGUAUGUUCUAAAUCUAGAAUAAGCAUGGCCAUAGCAUAAAAUACGUUACCAGAAAGCUAGUUUAAUACACAAACAUAUUUUGUGCAAAACAAGCAUUAGAAUACUCCCAAACUAAAACCCCCAUAUAAUCAUGCUAGUCACAUAAUAAUGCAGAAAUGGUAAUGACAUAAAUGUGCCAUGUUAAUGUCAUCAUUAAUGUGAUAAUGAUAUUGUGAUACAUACUUGUCCCAAAAGUGAAAUUGGUAAAAGUUCCGUAUAACAUAUUCAAAUUCAUCCCUUGAUCCAGAAGGCAUGAUCUUGUAUACAUUGUUCCUGUGGUACAUUUUGCUUGAUGUUUUGAUUUGGUACAUUGAAAGAACAUGGGCAUACUAACUUGUGUUAUUACAAUUUAUAUAUGAAUGUAAAACAGUUACAAAAUAAAUUAUUUCACAACACCUGAGAUAAUUUGUUUGUCUUGUGAUGGUCUAGUAUUUGUUAUGUCCAUACUCUUUCGACGUAACAAAUUAAAACAGCAAGCAUCUUGUACCACAAAACCAAGGGAUCAAUUUGGACACGUGAUACGAAAAAAAUUACGUCAACCUACUGAACUUUAACUAACUUUCAGAUUUGCGUGUAAAUUAAGAGAUAUGUAUCAUCAUUUAGUUCAUAUUUUCUCUCUACAGGUUUUAAAGUCUAGCCUAGGUUGACGUAAUUUUUUUCGUAUCACGUGUGCAAAUUGAUCCCUUGGUUUUGUGGUACAAGAUGCUUGCUGUUUUAAUUUGUUACGUCGAAAGAGUAUGGACAUAACAAAUACUAGAACAUCACAAGACAAACAAAUUAUCUCAGGUGUUGUGAAAUAAUUUUAUUUGUAACUGUUUUACAUUCAUAUAUAAAUUGUAAUAACACAAGUUAGUAUGCCCAUGUUCUUUCAAUGUACCAAAUCAAAACAUCAAGCAAAAUGUACCACAGGAACUAUGUAUACAAGAUCAUGCCUUCUGGAUCAAGGGAUUAAUUUGAAUAUGUUAUACGGAACUUUUACCAAUUUCACUUUCGGGACAAGUAUGUAAGGAAAUUAGAAAAUGAGCUGAAACAUUAAACUCCUUGGACACUCCAUAGAAAGGAAGAAUUAUUUUCUGUUUAAUGCUGGCAUGUGAAGACAUUAGAACAUUUUCUUGUAGAUUAAAUUCUUUGGACAUUCAAUGAAAAUGAUUUAUUUUGUGAUUUUUUGUUAUAAUAGUGCUUUUUUUAUUUUACUUAGAAUUUUAUUUCAUUGCCAGUUAAUUGAUAGUAACUAAGAAAGUGAAAUAAUUUUUUUUUUUUUUUUUUGAGAAAUAAAGAGUAUUUUUUACAACCUUAUAUUUCAUGAUUGUCUAUCUUCAAAACUUACCAAACUUGGGUGAUUCAUAUGGAAAAAAUAAUGCUGUCAUUUAAAGGGAAGAAAAGUGUAAAGAUUUUUGCUGAACGUUCAUAAUAAAUAAUUUUACCUUUUGA